rnacentral:rRNA from 1 species
GAUGAACGCUAGCGGCAGGCCUAAUACAUGCAAGUCGAACGAUACUCUUUAGCUUGCUAAGGAGGAAAGUGGCGCACGGGUGCGUAACGCGUAUGCAACCUACCUUAAUCAGGGGGAUAGCCCGAAGAAAUUCGGAUUAACACCGCAUAAAAUCACAGCACAGCAUUGUGCAAUGAUCAAAUGUUUAUAGGAUUAAGAUGGGCAUGCGUGACAUUAGUUAGUUGGCGGGGUAACGGCCCACCAAGACCACGAUGUCUAGGGGAUCUGAGAGGAUGACCCCCCACACUGGUACUGAGACACGGACCAGACUCCUACGGGAGGCAGCAGUAAGGAAUAUUGGUCAAUGGAGGCAACUCUGAACCAGCCAUGCCGCGUGCAGGAAGACAGCCCUCUGGGUCGUAAACUGCUUUUAUUCGGGAAUAAACCACAUUACGUGUAGUGUGCUGAAUGUACCGAAGGAAUAAGGAUCGGCUAACUCCGUGCCAGCAGCCGCGGUAAUACGGAGGAUCCAAGCGUUAUCCGGAUUUAUUGGGUUUAAAGGGUGCGUAGGCGGCUUUUUAAGUCAGGGGUGAAAGACGGUGGCUCAACCAUCGCAGUGCCCUUGAUACUGAAGAGCUUGAAUGAACUAGAGGUAGGCGGAAUGUGACAAGUAGCGGUGAAAUGCAUAGAUAUGUCACAGAACACCGAUUGCGAAGGCAGCUUACUAUGGUUAAAUUGACGCCGAGGCACGAAAGCGUGGGGAUCAAACAGGAUUAGAUACCCUGGUAGUCCACGCCCUAAACGAUGAAUACUCGCUGUUAGCGAUACACAGUUAGCGGCUAAGCGAAAGCGUUAAGUAUUCCACCUGGGGAGUACGGUCGCAAGAUUGAAACUCAAAGGAAUUGACGGGGGCCCGCACAAGCGGAGGAGCAUGUGGUUUAAUUCGAUGAUACGCGAGGAACCUUACCCGGGCUUGAAAGUUAGUGAAUCAUUUAGAGAUAGAUGAGUCCGCAAGGACACGAAACUAGGUGCUGCAUGGCUGUCGUCAGCUCGUGCCGUGAGGUGUUGGGUUAAGUCCCGCAACGAGCGCAACCCCUAUGUUUAGUUGCCAGCACGUAAUGGUGGGGACUCUAAACAGACUGCCUGUGCAAACAGAGAGGAAGGAGGGGACGACGUCAAGUCAUCAUGGCCCUUACGUCCGGGGCUACACACGUGCUACAAUGGAUGGUACAGAGGGCAGCAAGCUGGUAACAGCAAGCAAAUCUCCAAAAGCCAUUCACAGUUCGGAUAGAGGUCUGCAACUCGACCUCUUGAAGUUGGAUUCGCUAGUAAUCGUAUAUCAGCAAUGAUACGGUGAAUACGUUCCCGGGCCU